rnacentral:lncRNA from 1 species
UCCAUGUUUACGGAACUAUCACCAAUCAAGUGAUCAAUCUUUCCUUCAGGGUGCUCAAAGAAGCCUGCGACAUCCAAGCUUGUGAUGUCAACAUUGUUUUCAGAGAGAAAGUUAGCUUCGGAAUUUCUCUCUUUCUUCUUUAGUGAUGCUUGAUAAAGAUCAAUCAAGUGCUUGAGAGCAUGAUAGUCACGUGAAUAAUGUCCUUUUCUACCACAUCAGAAAUAAGUAAUUGCUUCACGUUUCUCAUCUUUUUUAUUUUUUUCGAUGAAUAAUUAACAUCCGAAAUAGGGUUUCUUUCUUGGUCAUCAUGACCACGACCACGACCACGUCUACAACCAGGGCCGCAACCUUUUCCAUGCCUAGCAUGGUAAGCAUGCACAUCAUUUACCUUAGGGAAUGGUGCAGAUCCAGUAAGUCGAUUCUCGUGAUUUUUCAUCAAUAAAUCAUUAUUUUGUUCAGCCACGAGAAGAUGAGAACUCAUUCAGUAUACUUCUUGAAACCUUUUUCUCAAUAUUGCUAUUGUAAUAGCACAUUCGAGACAUAAAAAGUGGAGAGCACCUUUUCCAUCAUAUCGUCAUCAUUGAUCAUCUCUCCAUAUAAUUUUAAUUGAGAAGAAAUUCUGAACAUGGCUGAAUUAUACUCAUGAACAGACUUAUAGUCUUGAAACCUCAGAUGCAUCCACUUAUACUGUGAUUUUGGGAGGAUGACCAUCUUUAGGUGAUCAAACCUUUCUUUUAGGCUAUUCCACAAUACGAGUGGAUCCUUAGUAUUAAGGUAUUCAAUUUUCGGAACUUCAUCAAAAUGAUGACGCAAGAAAAUCAUAGCCUUAGCACUAUUUUGACUAGAUGCUAUAUUUUCA